GGGGGGUGGGCUGCAGCUCUCUGAAAGAGCAUCUGUUUUGAGUGCAGAAGGCUCCAGGUUCAAUCCCUGGCAUCUCUCG